rnacentral:lncRNA from 1 species
GUGAUCCAUCUCCGCGUGACAGAAAUUGAGUGGAUCAGCGCUAGCCAGCGCCGCAGACAUCUGCCUAGGAAUGGGUACGGUGCCUUCCUUGCUUGCGUAUUUCUUAAGCGCUCUGGUGAUCGAUUCCACUUGCUUCCUGCACCAGCAAACAAACAGUCUCGCCAGCGUGCCAACACAGUAAACAGCCCAUCUCCGGCUCUUCCUCCUCGUGAAGCCGAUACAGUGGCCGAGGCUGCAAGUGUGCCCCAUCUCUGCAUUGGACUGAUCAACAGAUCCAGCCCAAUGCAGAGAUGGGGCGGCUAGAUACGAGCCGCCACGAGCGAGAAUUGGUCACGUUUCACCAUGCCUUGACUUCUAGCCCGCAAAAGCAGCGGCCAAUAGAUCGGCCCACACCAUUGCUCGUUGCAGAGCCAAAGCCACUCACAUCUCCAAAGUAUGCGGGUCUUGGGCUGUGUUGCAUCAAUGGUUUAGCCAAUGAUUCAAAUGUAUUGCACACAGUGCUAAUUUGUUUAAAAAAAUGUAGCUGUGAAGCAGGAUCUGGUUAAGGAACAGUGUGCACCAAACCAGCUGCCAGCAUCAGUAGGUCUGAAUUCUCAGACAGAGGCACAGAUCUAUUCGACACUUAAGGUCGACAAUCAGCCUUGAAUAGCACUCUCAUUUGCUGCUACUACGCAUGAAGCGCAACAGCAUGAGAAGUGCUGAUCCUCAUUUGGGCAUCUCACUCACCCGAGUGCAUCGAUGUCACACAAGUCCUCGCAUCGGUGCGCAAAGUCCAGCAGAAUAUUGAGGUGGUUGACUGCUGCCGG